rnacentral:lncRNA from 1 species
UUUUUUAUUUUUUUAAUAAUAAAUUCAUUUUUUAUUGGUGUUCAAUUUGCCAACAUACAGAUUAACACCCAGUGCUCAUCCCGUCAAGUGCCCCCCUCAGUGCCCAUCACCCAUUCACCCCCACCUCCCACCCUCCUCCCCUUCCACCACCCCUAGUUGGUUUCCCAGAGUUAGGAGUCUUUAUGUUCUGUCUCCCUUUCUGAUAUUUCCUACCCAUUUCUUCUCCCUUCUCAAGGAAGAAUUUUAAUACAAGGGCUGUCAAGGAGUGGUUUCAGCAAGAAGUGAAUUCCUUUCCACCAACCAUGUGGUUCUCCACGUUUAACUUGUUCACUGAUCACCCAGGUAGCUUUUUUUUACAAAACAGAUAUGCAAGACCUUUUCCACGGGAUUCUCAUAAAUGUGAACCAGGACUCUGGGAGCUGCAUUUGUAAAUAAAUGCUCCUGGGUGAAUCUGUUGCAGGUUGUCAAGAACACUGGGAAAUACUGAGGAGGCAACACAUGGCAACCCUACCAUUAGAGAGGGGGAUUCCUUUAUUAUAGGGGAACUUGGAUUGGAUGGUCCUAAGUUACCUUCAGAGUUGCUGAAACCAGAACUGGAAAAACAAAAUGUUGAGUGCUAGGAAUGAUAGGAUUGGAUGGGAACUGUGAGCUACUUCACUUGAGAAAGAAAAAAAAAAGAGCUGUAUCGCCAUCUGGUGGACUGCCUAAAAGUCUUUACACUCCACCCUAAAAUCCUAGAAUGAUUUUCUCAUUCUCUUUCUCAAUUCUGAUACCUUCCGCUUUACAGACCUGGAAUCAGAUUCAGAAAGGCUAGGUGGCACACACAGAGCCUACACCCCACAUCCAGCAAUUCUCAGGGUACUGCUUUUCAUAGGCUCGAAUUGCACAAGACUGAUGUCAUGCUUAUCAAUUACAAAUAUCUCAAGUUUUCCUCCAGCAAGUAAUCAGGAGGUUUAAGUUCUAGACAGCUGUCCCAGUGAAACAAAGUUCCCAGAUACUUCAGUACUACACUUCUCAAAGGACAGGGCACUGCUUUAAAAACGCAGAAAUCUUGGCUCUGUCUUAUGCCCAUAGCUAUGGACCGACCACUAGACCGUGGAUGCUUCACACCCUGCAGUGUCUGUCCUAAUCUAACUAGGUCCCAAACAGAAGCCUCACAUGUGUGCAUCUGGUUAGCAAACCUAAAUCACGUCUGAAUCUCUGGCUACAGUUUAGUUAGGGAAAUGUAGUGUUCAUGUUUAAUGUAGGUUUUCACUUGCUAGCCUCUGUCACCUAGGAAGGCAUAGGGAAAAGGGAAAAGCAAAGCAAAGAUUGGGAUAGAUGCUGAGCAAACCAAUCCAAAUCUUAUCACAUAAAGUUAUUCCCCUUGACCAUUCUUCCCAAACCCUCCUCCCUUACCUCUGUACAGCCCUAUUCCUGGAGAGUUGUCCAUUCUGUCUCCACCUCCUUACCUCUGACUCAUUCCUCAACCCACACGAUAAGAUGUCAUCCCCCUCAUAGCACCUCUAAGCACAUGAUCUUUUCAAUCUCCUUGCUUUAUCUUUCCCCCGCCCCCCUUCCACUCCUAUGUAGUGUCUGCCAAGUUCUGCAUUUAGCUCUGCCCCCGGUCCGUGUACUCUGCCUGGGUGGUCCUGUCCCCUUGCGUGGCGUAGCUACCAUAUGCAGAUAAUCCCCCAAAGCGUAACUCCAGCCAUAAAAUCUAUCCCAAAGAACAGACCUAGGUUUCCAGUUGCAUCGUGAAAGUGUCCGCCUGAAGAUCACGAGCACCUCAAACACGAUGUGUCUGCCACCAAAUUCAUCACUUACCCACCAAAUUUGUUUUUCUCCUUGCAUCCUAUGUCUAAGUAAACCACAAAUACCCACUUGCCAAAGCUGGAACCUUGGAAGUCAACUGGAUUCCUCUCUUUCCCUUUCAGUUCUUACAUUCAAACUGUCUCUAAGGCCCAUAAAUUCAGUGGAAUCCUUUUACCCAAGUUCCUGAGCUUAUUAUAAGUGCUCGCUAAAGAAAAACCUCAGACAUGGUCAUUCUAGCACUUUAUUGGAAACUGGUCGCAUACAUCAAUGAAAUCAGACCAAAGUAACAGCAUCACUUCCAC